GGACAAAACUCUGGAGAGCCCCGGGCAUUCCCGGGCGCCGAAGGUGCACAGGCCGGAUUUCCGGCUGUAAUCUCUCAGGCAAAAGGACAGAGCCGGGUGG
rfam:Dialister succinatiphilus YIT 11850 genomic scaffold supercont1.1, whole genome shotgun sequence.